UACGUAGGGAGCAAGCGUUGUCCGGAAUCAUUGGGCGUAAAGCGCGCGUAGGCGGCCCUGUAAGUCCGUUGUGAAAGUCAAAGGCUCAACCUUUGAAAGCCGAUGGAUACUGCAGGGCUAGAGUCCGGAAGAGGCGAGUGGAAUUCCUGGUGUAGCGGUGGAAUGCGCAGAUAUCGGGAGGAACACCAGUGGCGAAGGGCGGUUGCCUGGAGCUUUGCUGACGCUGAUGCGCGAAAGCGUGGGGAGCGAGUCCGG
rnacentral:rRNA from 1 species